rnacentral:lncRNA from 1 species
AAACAGCACAGUCUGCCCCACACUUUGGGCUGUAAACCUGGACUCCUGACAGGAUCCUGUGGACAGAGAGGGCUGCAGGAGGAAACAGGGGGUGCUUAGAAAUACAGCUUGUUGCCAGUGUAAUGAGGAGUGCCUUGGCGACUGUGCCCGUGGGACAGGCCUUCUCUCGCUUUGUGUGCAGAACAGGAAGAGCCGCGCUCUGGCUCUGUGGACUGUGACCACUCAGCGGGCGUUGGAGGACGGCACCUGGAUGCAGAUGCCCCUCUUGCCAUGGAUUUGGAUUGCUAAAUGUUUCCUGAGAAGCAGACAACUUGGUUUAAAUGAGACUGAACAAACUCAGCUCCAGGAAUUAGUAACCAAUUUGCUUUUGAGUGUCAUAUUUCAUGUUACACUUAACAGGUAUCACAUGUUCUGAGUUGGUCUUUCCUGUAUGUU